rnacentral:tRNA from 2 species
GCCGUACUCUGCUAAAAAGCCUCAAACAUGACUGGCAGUCAUGAGGUCAGGGGUUCGAUCCCCCUCGGCUCCA